GUAUUUCUAUGCAUGUAUUUAUGUAUGUGUUUUUAUAUGCAUACAUACAGUAGACAUUCCCUCGUUUAUAUAUACAACCUUUAUUUAAUCAGUUUCAGCUCAUUGAAAUCAAGAUCUCUUUUGCAGGCGGGACCUUAGUACAGCAGAUUGAAAGAAAAACAAAUAUAGACAGACAUGGUGGUGGAGAUCACUGUCUAACAGACCCAAGACAUCACCACAACACGUGCUGCUGUCCUGCAAUGUCUGCCCCUGUAUCUUGGACAUGUUUCCAGAUUCGGACACAGCAGUUGACUUCACCCAGAUGCCUGUUGGGGUUCUUGCAGUCAUGCCUGAGGACAGGCCACAAGAGCUAAACACCAUUGCAAUCAUCCUUGAAGGAAACAUUGUCAUGGAUAAAAUUCCCAUGCACUCUAUCUGGAUCACCCAAAAGGUAUGAACAACACAAGCUCAGCUCAAAACUGCAAACAUUAAAAAAUGCUCUUGUAGUAGUGGCUAGGGAUAGCUAUACUGGUUGUCUAUAAAUGAGUGUGGUGUGUGAGUAUAUGAUAGAGCUGAAUAAUUUAACAUUAAUGAAUGUUGUUUUGAAAAAG